rnacentral:rRNA from 1 species
UACAGAGGUCUCAAGCGUUAUUCGGAUUCAUUGGGCGUAAAGGGUGCGUAGGUGGCGCCGUAAGUCAGGUGUGAAAUUUCGGAGCUUAACUCCGAAACUGCAUUUGACUACUGCGGUGCUUGAGGACUGGAGAGGAGACUGGAAUUUACGGUGUAGCAAUGAAAUGCGUAGAGAUCGUAAGGAAGACCAGGUGGCGAAGGCGG